rnacentral:rRNA from 1 species
UACGAGGGGGGCAAGCGUUGUUCGGAAUUAUUGGGCGUAAAGGGUGCGUAGGCGGUGCGGUAAGUCUGUUGUGAAAUCUCCGGGCUCAACUCGGAGUCUGCAUCAGAAACUGCCGUGCUGGAGUGUGGGAGAGGUGAGUGGAAUUCCCGGUGUAGCGGUGAAAUGCGUAGAGAUCGGGAGGAACACCAGUGGCGAAGGCGGCUUCCUGGCCUGCAACUGACGCUGAGACGCGAAAGCGUGGGGAGCGAACCGG